AAUGUCACGUAAGAAUCAGUGAAAAAUUUUCGCUGCCUAAAAGGAAUUCAAUGUCUCCUUUCAAAAAUCAAAACUAUUUUCUUUUUGCUAACAUGAUACUGUUAUCCUUUUUUUUUUUUUUUUUUUAUUUUUAGCGAGAGGAGUAUUUCAACAGACUAAAGCAAAGGGUUUUACAAUAUGAUUUAGUCGUAGACAAACUGAUUAUCAAGGAUGUGCAACUCACUGCGUCAAAUGAUCCAUCAUAUUUUGUUUUCGAGGAUCUUCUGUAUCAGAUUAUGUUAUGUUUCUAUCGAGAUACGGAUGUUCUAUCAAUUUUUCCAUCACACAUCUGCGCAACACCGAUCCGCGGAGUGCUCAGGGGCAAGGCGCCGACUACCAAGAACUCCGUGUACUACCCCCGAAUGGAAUCAUACCUUUCCACGGAUUCACCAUGUACGGUAAGUUCAAAACAAUCGCACUGUCUUAAUAAGCACCUUGAGUGAAUGAUUCGAUUAAAGAAAAAAGGUGAA
rnacentral:lncRNA from 1 species